GCGUAAGCGACGUCCAUUCCGUUGGCCUCGCCGCUGCGUCCUCUGGGGCAUGUAGUACGUGCCUUCCGCUGAACACGCUCUGCUGUCCCGGCGUUUUCUCCCGGUUUGGGGACUGGAUCGUCAGAAGAUAGAAGCUGCAUGUUGGAAUGAAUGGGAUUUGGAGUUAUAAUGGAAGCAAAAUACGUGAAGGAAAAAUAGUUACCUUUUUAUCAGCAUACUGCACCUGACUACUAGUUGCAAAUGGUUUUCGUUACCUAAGAAAAUUUGUGAUGUAAAUGAAAAAUUACCUUUCUUUUAGACUCAUUGUUUGUAAAUAUGCUUCGCCUAAGAGCUAUUUGUCCGUUCUCCUGGAGAGUGUUUCAAUUUCGAACCUGCAGCUGUAAACCACUAAUUAGCCAGAUGAUUACGUGUACAGAUGAAGAGCAAGUAUUUGAUCUUAUUGAAAAAAACAAAGCCAUACUUUCAGAAAAGCAAGUGGAAUGUGCAUUUAAUAUACUUUGGCAGUUUCAAAAGCAGAAGACCAGCUUUUUGAAAAAUGUUGAAUGUAUCAGAGACCAUCCCCAAUUUCUUACUCUUCAUAAUUUAGCUACAAGUCAAAUGGAAUUCAUGAAUGAUGAUACCCUGGUGAAUGUCUUGUACAUCACACAACAGUGUGCUACUGAGGCCCAUGACCUGGUUGCAGCCCUAGUUACAGAAGCAUGGAGAAGACUGGAAAGGUUUGAUAUUAAUGUGCUGUCAAAAUUUUCCUCUUGCCUAGCAAAUCAGCAUUUAUAUUUCAGUCCAUUAAUGGGAAAAAUAGCUGAUAUUGUACAUAGGAACCUGGAAACCAUAGAGGACUUAAGGUCCCUGUCUGUAUUGAUGGUCAGCAUAUCUUCUUUAAUAUCACAACGUUUUCAAGAACAAUUAGUGAACAAAACAGAACAUCUUUUUGAUACCAUAGAUUCUUCCCAGGUCAACGUUGCAAGAAGAAUAGUACAAUUUCUUCGAAAUACUAAAUAUAGUUAUUAUCCACUCUUAGAAAUGUGCAAUAAAGUGUUUUUAAGCAAUAUGAACCACCUUGAUUUGGACUCCAUCAGUAAAAUACUUAGUCUAUAUCACUUUCUACAGUUUCAUAGUUUUGAAUUUGUUAAAAUGGCUAAAAAGAGGCUAACUGAAAUGAUUCCUCUGUUUGAUCACCCUGAUGGCUUUGUAAAACUGUUUGUAGCAUUGGGACCUAUUGCAGGACCUGAAGAAAAGAAACAACUUAAAUCAACUCUGUUACUGAUGUCAGAGGAGCUAACCAGACAGCAGGCCCUGGCAGUGAUGAGAGCAAUGGAAGAGAUGGAAAGCAGAAAUUCACAUCUGAUUAAAAAAAUUGCUUCAAUUCUGCAUAAACAUUUGGAUAACUAUAAACCAAUAGAGUUAUUGAGGAUAACUCAAGCAUUGAUUUUUCUACAUUUUCAAAGUAAAGAGCUUUUUGUGAAACUGAGAGAAUUACUGCUUAGAUAUUUGAAAAUUAGUGUUAUACCUAGUGAGAUUUCCAUCCUGGUCUAUGCUCUGUCCAUUCUUCCAUCUCCUCACCUAGAUGAAGUGGGGAUAUCUCGAAUUGAAGCCAUUUUACCGCAGUGUGACCUAAAUGACCUGAAUGGUUUUGCUACAUCUGUUUUAAGAUGGAUUCAUUAUGAUCACAAAUAUCUGGAUAAUACCACUGGGAAACAACUGAAACUGCUUCAAAAACUAGAUCACUAUGGUCUUCAGAGACUACGAAAAUACAACAAUUUGAAUCUUUUAAGGGAAGAACUUAAAUCUUUAAAAGGAGACUGGUUUGCUGAGUCACUUCUUGAAGAAACAGCUGGUACUUUACACCGUUUGAUGGAUGAAAUUAAUUACAAAAAUGUUGCAGAGAUUGCAUCUUUUAUUGCUAGAACUAACUACCUCAGUACUUUGCUACUUGAUAGGAUAGCCUCAGUGGUUGUUCAGCAGAUUGAAAAGAUCCACCCUUUUGUGAUCCUUGGUAUUAUUCCUCCAUUUAGCAUCUUGAACUAUGAUCCACCUCAAAAUGAUGAAUUUUUCAGGAUUUGCAUUCAAUACCUGAAUUCUUACUUAAGUGGAUUGGAUCCUUUCAUGUUAGUGUUUCUUGGUUAUUCUUUGGCCAUACUUGGAUAUUUUCCGGAAGAUCUGCUGAAGGCAAUUUUUAACAUCAAAUUCUUAGCCAAAAUGGAUUCUCAACUUGAAUUUUUAUGUUCAUCUCUAAAUAUGAAGGUCCAGUUUCGUCUUAUGGAAUUAAAUAGAGCAGUCUGCUUGGAGUGCCCUGAGUAUCAGAUUCCCUGGUUUCAUGACCGCUUCUGUCAACAACAGUAUAAUAAAGAUAUUGGCAGCAUGAAUGGAGCACAACAGCAGAUUUAUAAAAUGUUAGCAGAGGUGCUGGGAGGAACCAAUUGUGUAAAAGCCUCGGUUCUUACGCCUUAUUACCACAGAAUAGAUUUUGAGUGUAUCUUGGAUAAAAGAAAAAAAGCUCUUCCAUAUGGAAGCCACAAUAUAACUUUGGGAAAACUGCCAGAAAUGCACUGGGAAUCAAAUACCCAAAUAACUGGAUCAAGACUGCCACCAGGAGCUGAAAGGAUUGCUCUGCAAUUUUUGGAUUCAAGAGCUUUUUGUAGAAACAUCCCUCACUUGAAAGGAAAAUCUGCUAUGAAAAAACGACAGUUGGAAAUUUUGGGCUAUCAUGUAAUUCAGAUCCCGCAUUUUGAAUGGAACUCUAUGGCAUUGUCAACAAAGGAAGCUCGGAUGGACUACCUGAGAGAACGUAUAUUUGGAGAAGGCAAAUCAUGAUUGUAGUUUUUAUUUAAAAUUAGUGACGAUGGUGUGUCACAACUGAACUUAUUUUAAUUAAGUGGCCUGACUCAAUGAAAAAAUAAUAGUACAGAAUUGAUUGAUUUGAAGAGAGAAUGAGAGACAGAGAGCAUGAGAGGGAGGAGGGUCAGAGGGAGAAGCAGACUCCCUGCCGAGCAGGGAGCCCGACGCGGGACUCCAUCCCAGGACUCCAGGAUCAUGACCUGAGCCGAAGGCAGUCGCUUAACCAACUGAGCCACCCAGGCGCCCAAGAACCCAUGUUUUAAUUGAAUCACUUGGGCUACUCUGCUGAGAUGGGAAAAGACUGCAGUGAGGCAAGUGUAUAAGCAGGGAAACCCAUUAGAAGAUCAUUGCAAUAAUCCAGACAAAAAAUAGAUGGUUGGUGGGGCGCCUGGCUGGCUCAGUCAGUAGAACAUACAACUCUAUCUCAGGGUCUUGAGUUCAAGCCCCACAUUGGGCAUGGAGCCUACUUAAAAUAAAUAAGUAAAAAAUAGAUGGUUGGCUUAGAGUAGUAGCCGUGGAAGUAAAGAGAAGUGCUCAGAUUUUUUUUAUGUAUUUUGAAGGCAGAGGCAACAAAAUUUGCUCACUGAUUGGAUAUGAAGUAUGAGGGAAAGGAGUCAAGGAUAAUUCUAAGUUUUUGUCCUUAGCAACUAAAAGGAUGUUAUUGCUAUUGACUGAGAUGGGAAAGUCUACGGGAGGAAGAAGUAGGAGGUGCAGUGGGUGGGAGGAUCAUGAGUUUGGUUUUAGACAUGUUGAGUUUUUGAUGCCUUUUUAUUUUUUUUAAAGAUUUUAUUUAUUUGUCAGAGAGAGAGUGUGUAUGUGUGCACAAGCAGGGGGAGUGGCAGGCAGAGGAAGAAGCAGGCUCCUUGCUAAGCAAGGAGCCUGAUGCAGGACUCGAUCCCAGAACCCUGGGAUCAUGACCUGAGCUGAAGGCAGACGCUUAACCGACUGAGCCACCCAGGCGUCCCUGUGAUGCCUUUUAAACAUCUGAAGUGGAGAUAUCAAAUAGGCAUUUUAAUGAGUUUGGAGAAGGCAGAGGUCCAGGGCCAGAUAUAAAUUUGGAAGUUGUCAGCAGUAUUUAAUGUGAUGAAAGUAGAUGAAAUCACUAAAAUGUGAUUAGAGGAGAGUGUGAAUGGAGGAGAAGUCUGAGGACUCAGCUCCAGGUGCCCCAACAUGAGGUCAAGAAGAAGAGAAAUGAGCAAAGGAGGCUGGGCAGGGGUGGCCAGUGAGGUAGGAGGGAAAGUCAUAGGUAGUGAUACUUCCUAGAAGCCAAGUCGAGAAAGCAUUUCAAGGAGGAGGAGGUGAGCAGUUGUAUCAGAUACUGCUGAUGGCUUAGGUAAAGUGAGGACUGGGAAAUGUCCAUUAAAUUUAGCAGCAUGAAGAUCAUUGGUAACCUUGAAAAGAGGAGUUUUGGGAAAGGGGUAUGUGUGAAAGCCUGACUGGUUUAAUAGAAAGUGGGAGGAGACAGGUUUUGUUUUGUUUUGUUUUUUAAAUAAAUGGAAAAAAAGAUAUGGAGUGGGAAAUGGACUGAUCUUGACCUGGUCUGAUCCUACCCAUGAUGGGGGAAUAAUGAUUUUCUCUUGUCUUACAACACAUUUAUUCAAUAAAAUAGUUACUAAGGGUCUACUAUGUGAUAUAAUCCCUAACCUUUCUUCCAAUAGUGAUGUAUUUGUGCUGGGCAGAAAGCCAUGUUGUAACUAUCCUCAGGCCACCUGGUGGGAAUGUAGGUAAUUAGCAUCUGAAACUUGCUGUCUUCUGACUUCAUGACCAUCUAAGUUCAUUUAAGCUGGUAGCCAGAGUGCCUUGAGUCUUUUUUUUUUUUUUAAGAUUUUAUUUAUUUAUUUGAGAGAGAGAGAAUGAGAGACGGAGAGCAGGAGAGGGAAGAGGGUCAGAGGGAGAAGCAGACCCCCUGCUGAGCAGGGAGCCCGAUGUGGGACUCGAUCCCGGGACUCCAGGAUCAUGACCUGAGCCGAAGGCAGUCGCUUAACCAACUGAGCCACCCAGGCACCCUUGAGUCUUAAGCAUAGCUAUAAAACAUGUGUCCUGCAUAGAUUUUGGUCUGUUGAUAUUUGAUUUAGGUGUAGUUGAAGUACUUGUUCAAAAUAUUGUUACUUCGUGGAAUGCCUGCAUUGCUCAUUUGGUUAAGUGUCUGCCUUCGGCUCAGGUCAUGAUCCCAGGGUCCUGGGAUUGAGCCCCGCAUCGGGCUCCCUGCUCAGUUGGGAGCCUGCUUCUCCCUCUGCCUGCCAGUCCCCCUGCUUGUGAGCACUCUCGCUCUCUCUCUCAAAUAAAUAAAAUCUUAAAAACAAAAAAAAUCAUUACUUUGCAUGAUGUGAAACCCAAUACAUAAUCGUUUUGCAACAUGUAAACUUCACAGAACCUUUUGUGAAAAACAGGAUCAAAACAGUAAGCAAAUGAAAGAUGUCUCCCCUAACCAUUCUCCCUCAUUUUGGAUUUCCUUAUGAUAUUCAUUUGUAUUAGCUGAAAUGCUAAAUUCUAAGUGUUUGUCUUCUAUAUUCAUGAAUGUGUUCUCUUUCCCAAGCAAAUUAUGAGAAAUAAACCCUGAAUAGGUUAAAAUAUUUUACUCAGCAACUUUUAGAAUAAAAUGAUUAGACUGAUGAGGAUUAUAAAUUGUUUCUUUUGGAUAUAAAUGAAAACCCAGUUAUAGUAUACUUUGAAUACAUGGAAAUCUUGAUUAAAUGACCCUGUUGUACCUUUCACUUACUGUUACACAUACUCUGAUGUCUCAUGUACCACAUCUCUUACUGGUCUUCCUCUAGGCUGCCUGAUUCAAAUGGUUUUCUUUAUAUAUAUACUCUUAUAUUUUGUGUUUGAUGGUUUUCCUGUUUACAUAACUGGAGUUGUUAAAAGCAUUUUUUUAAAGCAUUCUUUUUUUCAUUGAAAUAUAAUUAACAUACCAUAAAAU